CGGACACCGACCGGAGGGGACUGUGCCUUCCAGCCCUGCGCCACCCGAGGCUAGGCCCGCGCCUGCUGCCUUGGCUUGCAACUCGGGAAAGUUCUCAGGCUUCCCCAGCUUGCACCGGCACCCUCACCUUUCCUGCCUGGACAAGCUGGCGACCUCCCGGUCCUCCUUUCAAAUUCUGUUGGUCUCGAGAUCUGCGGUGAGCACGGAACGUCUCAUCUCUAGCUAGCCCUGGUAACCGACCUCACGCACUCCUCAGGGCUAACUGUGGAUCAUUCAUUUCAUCACAAGUGAGAUAACCUGUGCACUGAGCAGUCAGUCGAUGGCGGUUCUCGGGAAUCCAAGGCGAAGGAACGCUCCCCCAACCCCCUUGUCCCGGUGGCUAAACGCAGACGUGGAGUCCCCACCCGGCCCUCUCCGGGUACACCUCAGCCAAGUGUGAGCUCGGUGGGAAGGACUCUUCUCUGGAGGAGUUCACCUUGCCAACAGGUGUGGCACCCGAAAGAAGAGCCAGCACGGCCCCACAA
rnacentral:lncRNA from 1 species